UGGGGAAUUUUGGACAAUGGGCGAAAGCCUGAUCCAGCAAUGCCGCGUGUGUGAAGAAGGCCUUCGGGUUGUAAAGCACUUUUGUCCGGAAAGAAAUCCUUGGCUCUAAUACAGUCGGGGGAUGACGGUACCGGAAGAAUAAGCACCGGCUAACUACGUGCCAGCAGCCGCGGUAAUACGUAGGGUGCAAGCGUUAAUCGGAAUUACUGGGCGUAAAGCGUGCGCAGGCGGUUUGCUAAGACCGAUGUGAAAUCCCCGGGCUCAACCUGGGAACUGCAUUGGUGACUGGCAGGCUAGAGUAUGGCAGAGGGGGGUAGAAUUCCACGUGUAGCAGUGAAAUGCGUAGAGAUGUGGAGGAAUACCGAUGGCGAAGGCAGCCCCCUGGGCCAAUACUGACGCUCAUGCACGAAAAGCGUGGGGAGCAAACAGGAUUAGAUACCCUGGUAGUCCACGCCCUAAAACGAUGUCAACUAGUUGUUGGGGAUCAUUUCCUUAGUAAACGUAGCUAAACGCGUGAAGUUGACCGCCUGGGGAGUACGUCGCAAGAUUAAAAACUUAAAGGAAUUGACGGGGGUCAUAGCUGUUUCCU
rnacentral:rRNA from 1 species